rnacentral:misc_RNA from 1 species
ACGAAUUGUAAAGGAGGUUGAUGCUGGUAGCCUUCCCGGCUGCAUGUGCUCGCUUCCAACAAUCCUUAUCCAUACACCUGUGCACCUUUUGAGGGUUUUCCGAGAGAUCGGAUUAUCCUCUUUAUCAUAAACUCCCUAAUAAUUCUGAACGUCAUUGUGCCAUUAUGGCCUUAAACAAAUA